UACGAAGGGGGGCUAGCGUUGCUCGGAAUCACUGGGCGUAAAGCGCACGUAGGCGGAUCUUUUAAGUCAGGGGGUGAAAUCCCAAGGCUCAACCUUGGAACUGCCUUUGAUACUGGGGGAUCUCGAGUCCGGAAGAGGUGAGUGGAACUGCGAGUGUAGAGGUGAAAUUUCGUAGAUAUUCGCAAGAACACCAGUGGCGAAGGCGGCUCACUGGUCCGGUACUGACGCUGAGGUGCGAAAGCGUGGGGGAGCAAACAGG
rnacentral:rRNA from 1 species